AUAAUAAAUUGUAAAUAUAUAGCUAAUCUUCACAAUUUACAAGAUAAAGAAGGACUUCGUGCUGCUAAUAAAAUUAAUAAAUCUCAUAUUGACUAUCACAAACAAAAAAUGAAAGUUAAACUUGCUGUACAAAAGGUAUUCUUUUGGCACAAGAGCUAAAGAUUGAUGGGUUUGAAAAUUGUGAGAGCACAGUUGACUUUAUUCAAAUGAUUGAUCAAAUGUUUGACUUUUUAAAUACACGGAACAUAGUUGCUAAAGGGUUUAAAAAACCACUAACUACAAAUUCACUUUCUUAUUAUGAAAAUUUUUUUGAGAUGUGCAUUAAAACUUUAAAAUCCUUAAAGUUUGAAAGUGGAAAAUACGUUUAUAGAUCAAAAAAAAAGUCUGCAUUAUAGGCUUAAUCUUGUCAAUGAAAAGCAUUUUGG